UUGCUCUUCAACGAGGAAUUCCUAGUAAGCGUGAGUCAUCAGCUCGCGUUGAUUACGUCCCUGCCCUUUGUACACACCGCCCGUCGCUACUACCGAUUGAAUGGCUUAGUGAGGUCUUCGGAUUGGCUUUGGGGAGCCGGCAACGGCACUCUAUUGCUGAGAAGUUGAUCAAACUUGGUCAUUUAGAGGAAGUAAAAGUCGUAACAAGGUUUCCGUAGGUGAACCUGCGGAAGGAUCAUUAUUGAAUGAAUGUAGAGUUGUGUUGUCGCUGGCUGGAUCGGAUUGAUUUCUGUUUCAGCAUGUGCACGCCUUCUCUUUCAUCCACACACACCUGUGCACUUGUGAGACUGGGGACCGUAAAAAAGUCUUCAGUCUACUUAAAUAUACAAACUCCAUUUAAUUAAACUGAAUGUAAUUGAUGUAACACAUCAUCAGAACUAAGUUUCAACAACGGAUCUCUUGGCUCUCGCAUCGAUGUAGAACGCAGCGAAAUGCGAUAAGUAAUGUGAAUUGCAGAAUUCAGUGAAUCAUCGAAUCUUUGAACGCACCUUGCGCUCCUUGGUAUUCCUUGGAGCAUGCCUGUUUGAGUAUCAUGAAAUUCUCAAAGUCAAUCCUUUUUGUUAAUUCAAUUGGUUUGCUUUGGACUUGGAGGUCUUUGCAGAUGUCGCAGUCUGCUCCUCUUAAAUUUAUUAGCUGGAUCUCAGUAUACACUUGGUUCCACUCAGCGUGAUAAGUAUCAUUCGCUGAGGACACUGUAAAAGGUGGCCAGGAAAUACGGAUGAACCGCUUCUAAUAGUCCAUUUACUUGGACAAUUUACUUUAUGAUCUGAUCUCAAAUCAGGUAGGACUACCCGCUGAACUUAAGCAUAUCAAUAAGCGGAGGA
rnacentral:rRNA from 1 species